rnacentral:lncRNA from 10 species
CUGGGCUGGCGCAGCUCCCGAUGGACCCCAUCAGAAGAGCAGUGCUUACCCGGAGGGUGCAUCCUGCCCCCAAACCCCUACCCCUUACUGCACCCCUUACCUUGCCCCCACCCCACCCCACGGGAUGCUCUCACCUCAAGGCUUCUGGUGCUGUACUCAGAGCCAAGUAACUUUCAGUUCUUCCAGAUAAAUGCAUAGCCACACUUUUUCUGUCAUUGCAAUUGCAUUUUUAAAUUGUAUCAUCUGUUUCAAUACUAAAUCUGGUAAUUUAAAAGAUCCUUCAAAAUCAAAUGAUGACCAGUUUAUAUCUGUUUUUACAUGUUUCAAAAAAAACACAAAAGCCUGAACUUUCUGAGAAGGUGGAAUAGAGGUGUAGAAAGAGGUUGGGGUGGUUGGGCUUAGGUCGUUCUCAUUCUUCCCCUCCCAUCUGUGUCCAGUAGCACCUCAAGCUUCCCUAUGGCAGAAGCAAGCAUUCUCAGGCGAGGCUUCACACUUGGGGUUUUGCGGCAGAAAUCUGUUUUGAAACAUGCCGUGGGAAAGACAAAUAUAUCCUUCCGUGCACAUCACAGGGAGCUCCUUUAUUCUGAGCCAGCAAAUAUACAAUCGGCUGAAGAUUCCUUGGGCCUCAGAGCUGGUAUGAUACUGCUCUGUGAGUUUAGUCUCCUCACAGUGAAUCAGUUGAGAAGGAUGGCCGAGGGCCCAGUGGAAGAGAAAUGCCUUGUGAUUAGAAAAGAGCGCAUCGUGGAUAUGUUCAUGGCAUAGACAUGAGUUGUUUUCCUUUGUAUCUGAACAAUGGGAAAUGUUGGCGCAAGUCUUUCUUUGCAGAGUCUUUCUAUGACAGCCAAGAGUCUGUUUGCCAUUCAAGACCAAAAUGAGGCCAUGUGCCUGCUACCUGCCAAGGCUUCUGACGUGGCAGUGCCAGGGAGCAGAGUGGCAUCCCACCACAGAGGACUCUGACCAAAGCAAAAGCUUCGCCGGGAGGGGAGGUUACUUUCCACCCAGCACUGGGAGACAGAGCCAGGUAUUAGAUGAGAGAAGACUGAGAGC